rnacentral:rRNA from 1 species
AUUGAACGCUGGCGGCAUGCUUUACACAUGCAAGUCGAACGGUAACAGGCCGCAAGGUGCUGACGAGUGGCGAACGGGUGAGUAAUGCAUCGGAACGUGCCCAGUCGUGGGGGAUAACUACUCGAAAGAGUAGCUAAUACCGCAUACGAUCUAUGGAUGAAAGCGGGGGACCGUAAGGCCUCGCGCGAUUGGAGCGGCCGAUGUCAGAUUAGGUAGUUGGUGGGGUAAAGGCUCACCAAGCCAACGAUCUGUAGCUGGUCUGAGAGGACGACCAGCCACACUGGGACUGAGACACGGCCCAGACUCCUACGGGAGGCAGCAGUGGGGAAUUUUGGACAAUGGGCGCAAGCCUGAUCCAGCAAUGCCGCGUGCAGGAAGAAGGCCUUCGGGUCGUAAAAUGCUUUUGUACGGAACGAAACGGCUCUGGUUAAUACCCGGGGCUAAUGACGGUACCGGAAGAAUAAGCACCGGCUAACUACGUG